GGGGAUUUAGCUCAGUGGUUAGAGCGCUUGCCUAGGAAGCACAAGGGCCUGGGUUCAGUCCCCAGCUCCG
rnacentral:tRNA from 1 species